UCGUAUAAUGGAGGUGCCGGGGCUGUCGCUAUCUUUGUGCACGCCCUGGUGCUCUCUCACAAUCCAUCUCACCCCUUUUGUGCAUCACCGCGUGGGUGCUCUCCUUUUGAAAAGGGAGCAUUUUGCGCUUUUACACAGACCCACUGCAUGUCUAGAAUGUCUUUUUUUACUCUUGCGGUCACACGCAAUAUUAACA
rnacentral:misc_RNA from 1 species